UAACUGGAAGUAGAGUGAUGAGUUCGUUCUUGUGAAUAAGCGCGGUGUAGUUUUUGAUGUACUCAUUCGUGGACAUCGCAGGAUUUACGUUUUCCUGUUGAUUUAGGAACAGGGCUGCAAAUCUUAAAGGGAGGCGACAAAACUGAUUCCAGAAGCACAGGUCCGGGAACAGACAGACCCCAGAGGCUCGCAGUCUAAAGCAGAUUGCCCUGUCGUGAAGAAACCCCUUCGGAAGACCUGAAGCAACGAUCUUCCUGCAGAAAGCAGACAAUGGCUCUUGUCCAGCCUCUGCUGGUUGUGCAGGAGGCCCUGAGGAAGUGCUUCCCUGUGGUGGAGGAACAGCAGGCCCUGUGGCAGAGCACCCUGCAGGACUGCUCGCCCCUCCUAUCCUCUCUCAGUAACCUGGCUGAGCAGCUGCAAGCUGCACAGAGUCUGCGCUUUGAGGAUGUGCCAGCCCUGCGUCCCUUUCCAGACUUACAGGAGCGGCUGAGGCGCAAGCAGCUGGAGGCUGGUGACGUUGUCCUGGACAAGCUAGCUGAGAGGCUAGCCACCCUCCUCAAGGUCCGUAACACCAUCAGUAGCCAUGUGGAGCAGGUAUUUCAGGCCUACGAGCAGCAUGCGGCUGUGCUAGACAUUGAUACCGUCCUGCGCCCCUCAGUCGUGAGCCCCUCUGUGGCUGACAUGUUGGAGUGGCUGCAGGACAUCGACAGACAUUAUGGAAGCUCGUACCUGAAGAGAAAGUACCUCCUCUCCUCCAUCCACUGGGGAGACUUGGCCAGCAUCCAAGCACUGCCCAAGGCCUGGGACCAAAUUUCAGAAGAUGAGUGCCAAACUCUUGUGUCAGAUGUCCUGGUGAGUGUCUCCUUCUUCCUGGAGGAGCCAGGAGGCUGUGCGGCGUCUGGAGAUCUGGAGCACCGCAGCUGAGGGCUGCCAUUGCUACACUAGGCUAUUUCUAAGUGAGGGUCAGCAUGGCUACCUGACUCACUGAAAUAGCAGUGCCUAGGACUUCUCCAUGCUAGGCCAUGGCCAAGGGUCCAUGGCAGCUGCACCUAUGACUCUGAGAAGCGGAUAGAGGCGGAGGAGACAGGAAAGGCAGUGCUAGUAAACAGUGUCCACCAAGGCAGGAAAGGGCGGAAUGCAAGGUUGUGUGGCCACCGCUGCCUAUGUCAUCUGAACCAUUAGUCUCUGGUUGGCUCAGGUCCUGAUUCUGUGUCAGUAUCUGAGUCCUUAAUGGCUUAAAGAUAGGAGUGGGUCUGGGAGUCCAGGGCGGGAGCAGUGUGUGUGUGUGUGUGUGUGUGUGUGUGUGUGUGUGUGUGUGUGUGUGUGUGAAAGUCAGAGGACAAAGUCAAUCACCUGCAAAACCCCAAAAAGGAAAGGACAAGAAAAGGGAACGUUUUUCUUCACCGAAGCUCAUUAUGAAGCCAGUUUCCAUUUCCAAAGUCAGCCACCAGGGGGCGAUGGUGCAGCGUGAGCUGUUCUGAAUGCCUUGUUCUUGAGGGAGGUCCCCUGUUGCUGUUAAAAGCCACUGAGGUGUCUGUGGGCAGGUGGGUCUCUGAUUUUGAGAUCACCUUCGUCUCUAUAGCUCCAGGUCAACCAAGGCCACAAACUGAGACUUGUCUCAAAAAGGAAGACACAGAGGUAAAGGGACCUCGCAUUGGCCAUGGUCUUCUGAGUUUGGGGUAACCGGCCAGGGAAGGGAAUGUCGGCUGUGAUGGUUGGUUUUUAUGGUCCACUUGACAUGCAAAGCCACCUCGGAAGGGAGUCUCAGUGAGGAAUGUUCUAGAUUUGGUUGGCUUGCAGACAUGCAAGAUUUUCUUAAGUGAGGUGAGAAGACCCAUCCUGAAUGUGAGUGGCAGCAUGUCAUGGGCUGAGCACUUAGCUGGCAUUCACCUUCGAUGGUGAGUAUGCCGUGAGCAGCUGCUUCAGGUUCCUGCCACUGACUCUCCUGUAGUAAUGGAUUCUAACUUCAAAUUAUAAGCCUAAUAUCUGCCAAUAGGUUUUAUCAUGCUUUAGGGUUCUCUAAAAGAACAGGACUAAUGAUAAUAUGAAUGAAUAUAAAGAGAGAGUACUGAGGGCAGCAAGAGUGAGGGCCGGCGUACCUAAAGCAAAAGCAUUCUUCUUCCAUAUGAUGAUAUGUGGACUCCCACCACAGGGUGUGGCCCAGAUUUGGGGUGGGUCUUCCCACCUCAAAUGAUCCAAUCGAGAAAACCCCUCACAGGCCUGCCUAGUUGCUUGAGUCUUAGUUGAUUCCAGAUGUCAAGUUGACAGCGAAGAUUAGCUAUCACAUGCAGUGCUGGGAAAGAGACUGAGAGGCAGCCUGGAGUGGUGCCGACCCUUGCCUCUGUGCCGCGGCCACUGCUCGGGGGUCUCAGCUUCCCAUGUGCUCUACAAGUCAGGGCUGCCGUGUACAGGGCGUAGUGCAGAGAAUGGGUUUAUUUUAGCUUUUGAUUUUACAAGACUGGGUUUCUCUGUGUAGCCCUGGCUGUCCUGAAACUCACUCUAAACCAGGCUGAUCUCAAAGAUCCACCUGUCUCUGCCUCCUGAGUACAAGGAUCAAAGGCAUGUGCCACCACCACCACCCAGCUAAGGAUGGAGACUUUUAAAAAGAAAGUGACUUUGUUUUCUUACUAUAUUUUUUGUUUUUAAUUAAAGAAAAAAAAUUAAAUACAGAAAAGUAUAAUGUAAAACCCACCCUAAUAUUUUGAUCUGUAUCCCUUUACUGUUCUUCACAAAUUUCAAAACAAAAGACAUUGAUACAAACUCAUUGUUUCUAAAUUUGUGGAUAGUUGGACAUCUGUAAAUAAGUCAAUAAAACUGUACUAUGUAGACUA
ensembl:processed_transcript